AAACCAAAUUGGUCUUUCAUUUAUGUAUUUCAUCUUCCAUUCUUCUGCUCCAAAUCGGUUCCACACUUUCAUUUCCUUCAAACCCACCACAAACCCUUACCUAAUUACUGAAGGGCGAAGGUGUCUGGUGAAGGAAUGAAAGGUUGAACCGCACAAAACCACUACAAACUCUUACGGCUUACAGUACCUAAUCGUCGUUGCUGCUGGCCUGCUACGCUACUGCUGGCGAGACUCCGAGAGGCGAGACGAGAGGAAGACGUUGAGGAGUCUGCAACGCAUUUCUUGGUGAGGUUCAAGUGAGCCCGCAUUUCUUUCCUCUUUCUCUUUUAUUUUUUUGGUUCUGUUUUUGUUCUACCAUCUAUGUGGUGACUAUGUGAAUAAUGUGAUUAUGUGAAAUGUAAAUGUUGAAAUUUGAAUGUUGAAUUGUUAAUUGUUGUUGUGGAGUUUGCUAGUUGCCGGUUGGAUUGUUAGUGUUGGACUUGGGUGAAUGGAUUAUGGGACUUGCCAAUUGCCGUGUUGUUGCCGUGUUUUG
rnacentral:lncRNA from 1 species